UGUUGGUGAGGUAAUGGCUCACCAAGCCCUCUAUGGAUAGCUGGUCUGAGAGGAUAUCAGCCACACUGGCACUGAGACACGGGCCAGACUCCUACGGGAGCAGCAGUGGGGAAUUGGCAAUGGGCGAAGCUGACGCGGACCCGCGUGGGUGAGAGCCUUCGGGUCGUAAACCUGUGAGGGGGAAGAACAGCCAGCAUUUCGAAUAGGGUGCUGGUCUGACGGUACCCCUUGAGGGAAGCACCGGCUAACUCCGUGCCAGCAGCCGCGGUAAUACGGAGGGUGCAAACGUUGUUCGGAAUUACUGGGCGUAAAGGGCGAGCAGGCGGUAUGGCAAGUCAGGUGUGAAAGCCCUCGGCUCAACUGAGGAACUGCACUUGAAACUGCUUUACUUGAAUCCGGUAGAGGGAGGCGGAAUUCCUGGUGUAGAGGUGAAAUUCGUAGAUAUCAGGAGGAACACCGGAGGCGAAGGCGGCCUCCUGUGGCCGGUAUUGACGCUGAGGCGCGAAAGCGUGGGGAGCAAACAGGAUUAGAUACCCUGGUAGUCCACGCCGUAAACGAUGUUCACUAGGUGUCGCGGGUAGUUUAAACCCUGCGGUGCCGCAGCAAACGCGAUAAGUGAACCGCCUGGGGAGUACGGUCGCAAGAUUAAAACUCAAAGGAAUUGACGGGGGCCCGCACAAGCGGUGGAGUAUGUGGUUUAAUUCGAAGCAACGCGCAGAACCUUACCUGGGUUUGACAUCUCCGGAACAUCCUGGAGACAGGAUGGUGCCCUUCGGGGAGCCGGAAGACAGGUGCUGCAUGGCUGUCGUCAGCUCGUGUCGUGAGAUGUUGGGUUAAGUCCCGCAACGAGCGCAACCCUUGCCCUUAGUUACCAGCACAUUAGGUGGGGACUCUAAGGGGACUGCCCCGGUGAACGGGGAGGAAGGUGGGGAUGACGUCAAGUCCUCAUGGCCCUUAUGCCCAGGGCUACACACGUACUACAAUGGUCGGUACAAAGGGUUGCGAACCCGCGAGGGGGAGCCAAUCCCAAAAAGCCGGUCACAGUUCGGAUAGGAGUCUGCAACUCGACUCCUUGAAGUCGGAAUCGCUAGUAAUCGCGGAUCAGCAUGCCGCGGUGAUACGUUCCCGGGCCUUGUACACACCGCCCGUCACACCAUGGGAGUUGUCUGGACCAGAAGUCGCCGGCCCAACCCGCAAGGGAGGGAAGCGCCGAAGGUCUGG
rnacentral:rRNA from 1 species